AUUGAACGCUGGCGGCAUGCCUUACACAUGCAAGUCGAACGGCAGCACGGGUGCUUGCACCUGGUGGCGAGUGGCGAACGGGUGAGUAAUACAUCGGAACAUGUCCUGUAGUGGGGGAUAGCCCGGCGAAAGCCGGAUUAAUACCGCAUACGAUCUACGGAUGAAAGCGGGGGACCUUCGGGCCUCGCGCUAUAGGGUUGGCCGAUGGCUGAUUAGCUAGUUGGUGGGGUAACGGCCUACCAAGGCGACGAUCAGUAGCUGGUCUGAGAGGACGACCAGCCACACUGGAACUGAGACACGGCCCAGACUCCUACGGGAGGCAGCAGUGGGGAAUUUUGGACAAUGGGCGAAAGCCUGAUCCAGCAAUGCCGCGUGUGUGAAGAAGGCCUUCGGGUUGUAAAGCACUUUUGUCCGGAAAGAAAUCCUUGGCCCUAAUACGGUCGGGGGAUGACGGUACCGGAAGAAUAAGCACCGGCUAACUACGUG
rnacentral:rRNA from 1 species